AGGCUCUUUCCUGCCCUGGAGACUCAAUGAUUUUAUGUCUGGAGGUUCAUAAGUCACAAGAUAUCUGGAAUUAGGUGGGAGACCAUGAUGGUGACAUUUGGAAGAACCUGGCUGGGGAAGAAUGAAGCUCAAUUAUUUUUGUCUACUUUGCUAACAAUUCAGAGUUCUGAAAAGUCUGGAUCGCACUAUGAGAAGUUUGUGUGCUUGGUGAAAUGUUGUCCAAUUGGCCAAUCCACUUGGUCUUGGGAAAUGUCCUAGAAGCUUGGCAAGAAAAUGUUCUCAAGAGAGCACAAAUGCUGCCAAUUUCCAAUUGGCCAAGACACAUUACAAGGACAACCUUCUCUCCAAGCAACCUGGCAUUUCCACCCCAAUUGGAAUCUGCAACACAAAGAUGCAUGCGGGGGAAAGACUAAGUAAACAAACCUUUCAGAUUUCCGCUCCAGCCAGUUGCCUGGUACCAUGAUGUCACCUACUACUGUUUAGUUUCCAUCCACCAGGUCUACACUAGUGAAUACUCCAGGACCAGUAAAGUCACUUGUUUGCCAGCAGCAGCAGUUAUUUCUGCAUUGACCAAGCUGGUACUUUGCUCAUCAUCAAACCCAGUCCAAGUAUAGGUGGCUGCUUCUGGAAUUAACUUCCAAAUGCCGGAUGGAAGUCAGGUGUGUUUUCAUCGGGUCCGUGCAAAUCCAGGCAUUGAGUUGAUGUUGUGGAUAUAACAGGAUUGAUUUCUGGCAUUUGGAGAGCCAGCACACAGACAAUGAAGCAGGAAAACAUGAUGACCUAUGAUCCACCAGAAUGGAAGCUCCAUGAAUGCAGGAAAAAUAAGAUAACUGUGUGAAGCAACUAAGGAACAACUGAAGCCUAGAGGCCCCUUGGAGAUUCAGAAUACAAUAGAAAUUGUGAAUUGAGGUAAGGAUAUAGAAAAGCUUCUGAUGGAUCGAGGUGUGUUUUGACCUGCUGAUCAUGUGGGCAACUACAGAGAACAUGGACUUUGGAGUCAGCUAGACCUUGGACUGAACUCUGCUCUGUUACUUGCUACUUGUGUAACCAUUGGCAAGGUAUUGAUCUGUGAGUUUCCUCAUCUACACAAUGGAGAUAAAUAUGUAAGUAUGUAUAUGAGAGAGAGAGCCUAACAUUCACAGAUAGGAAAUAAAUGGCAGCUUGUCAUAAUAAUAGCACAUUUUAGGAUGCUUUGCUCUUAAAAACUUUGUUUUGCUCUGAGGUAAGUAAAGAAUAAAUGCUGAGUUCUGGUUUGGCUUGAGAAGUCAAAAGCGGACCGAUCUCAGGGCACCUGUGUGAUUCAGUCCGUUGAGCGGCCAACUCUUGAUUUCGGCUCAGGUCAUGGGCUGACAGCAUGGAGCCUGCUCGGGCUUCUCUCUCUCUCUCCCUCUCUCCCUCUCUGUGCCCCUCCCCUGCUCACAUCCUCAAACAAUGUUAACUAGCCGAAGUUAUUUUAUCCCUUCUUCAAAUAACCUAAGUUUUAUGUCACAUAUUUUUAACAUAAAAAUCAUCCACGUUCCCUUUAAAUUGUGGAAUGCAGUAUUAGAUGUGCUGGUGGAUCUGCUGGAUAGUUUAUCUUGGGUCGUCUUGAAUUGCCUGGGUCUCCAUCUUUCGGUCUACCUUGGCUUUGCUUGUGGGAAUGGCUACUGUUGCAUAUGCAGUUGACUGAUUGUGUUCCAUGGGUAUCCAACCUUUAUUUUUUUCCUCCUUGACCUUAUGCAUAUCUGAUUCCUAUGCUUAAGAAGCAUGAGCCGUAUCUUCUUGCUCCAAAUCUCCUGGUAGGCUACAUCCAGUCUGUGUUUUCACAGGGGGACUGAUGUAGAUACAAAGAGAAAAACAAGUAUUGAGAUUCAUUUAUUAAUUGUUCAUUCACUCACUCAACAAAACUUUAUUUGAAACUUUCUAAAUGCAAAGCAUGACGAGGUGCUAUAAGAAAUAUACAUGACAAGAAUACAUGUUCCAAGGCCUCAAGGACCCCACAGUCUAGCAUACUGCCUGUGAGAUAUUAGGCCUUAUAUAGCAAUGGGAGGAAUAUUUCUCCCUUCAACUGGAUCCUGCAGAGUAUGUGGAACAAUCUAAAUAGUUCUUUUCUUAAUCAGCUUGAGAGGAGAAAAGUCAACUGGGCCUUUCCCUUCUUUGAUAUUUGAGAUAUUCUUGGAAUGGUAUUUCAUUGCCCUUUGGUAGAAUAGCUCACAAAAGCCAAAUAAUACUUUGUGUAAACUAUAGACUUCCCUGAAAGAGUGUGUUGGAAAUUUUUGACUCAGCUAACUUUCUGUCAAGUUAAACACCCAACAUCAAGAAGAAAUUUGAGCAUUUGUACAAAAGUCUAACAAAUUCUUACAAAUUAGGAUAGAAUUAAAGAAAAUUCAUUAUGGUCAACAAGCUUGUGGAAGCUUUAUUUUAUUCAGUGUAUCGCCCAAAACUGAUUUUUUUUCUGGUUUUAUUGAGAUAUAAUUGACAAGCAACACUGUAUAAGUUUAAGGUGUGCAGCAUAAUGAAAAAAAGACAUCUAUAUUAUGCAAUAAUGGCCACAGUAAGUUUAGUUAACAUCCAUCACCUCAUACAGUUGUGAAUUUUUUCCCCUUGUGAUCAGAACAUUUGCAUUUUACUUUCUUGGCCACUUUCAAAUAUACCAUACAACAUUGUUAACUAUAGUCAUCAUGUUGUAUAUCACAUCCCCAAUCCUUACUUAUCUUAUAACUAGAAGUUUGUACUUUUUAACCACCUUCAGUCAAUUCCCCCACCUCUCACCUCCUGCUUCUUGAAAUCACAAAUCUGAUCUUUUUUUUUCUAUGAGUUUGUUUGUUUGUUUUUGAUUCCACAUAUAAGUGAGAUCAUACAGUAUUUGUCUUUUUCCGUCUGACUUAUUUUACUUAGCAUAAUGCCCUCAAGAUACAUCCAUGUUGUUGCAAAUGUCAGGAUAUCCUUUUUUUCAUGGCUAAACAGUAUUCCAUGUAAAUGGGAUUAUUGAACACUUAGGUUGUUUCUAUGUCUUGGCUAUUGUAAAUAGUGCUUCAGUGAACAUGAGGGUACAGAUAUCUCUUUGACAGAGUAACUUUGUUUCUUUCAAAUAUAUACUCAGCAAUGGAAUUGUUGGAUCAUACAGUAGUUCUAUUUUUAAUUUUUUGAGGAACUUCCAUACUGUUUUCUAGGAUGGUUGUACCAAUUUAUACUUCUACCAACAGUGUACAAGGGUUCCA